rnacentral:tRNA from 1 species
AUUUAGAUAGUUUAUUAUUAGAAUAGUAAUUUGUGGUGUUACAGGUGUUGUUUAUUAACUCUAAAUU